CCCAGCGUCAUGCAGAUCGAGGGCGAUCACGAUGUCCGGUCCUCCAUGCCUGAGGCCGAUCUCUUACCGGCUAUGUCCGCCAGAAGGCAAGGUGCUGCCGAGGACGCUUCAUGCAGGGCGUACGUCGACCAACUCCAUCUGCCUCCGAUCUCUGAGCUCGGCGUUGCCUGGCCGUCAACAGCAGCACCCUCUCAAUCUGAACAGAUCCGUCGGUAGCUGCUCUUUUCGCUGAAGCCGCCACAACCCCAGUGUACUAAACCCAUUUCAGGGUUGAAAAAAGCCCCCAAAUCAUCUUCUCGGCAAGACGAUAUCCACAUGCUUAAGCUACUAGAGAAUAGUUACACUCAGUGAAGAUUUAUCAAUGCAAAAGCUCAGGCAGCUGAGGAAGCUAAGAGAGUCUCUGCGAGAGAUCAUUAUAUGGAACAUCAACGAGGAUUGCUGUGAUUCCAUCACUCAUCAAGUAGGAUAUGUUGGAGUACAAUCUGUUGCCGGAAAUUUUACGGGAUAUUAGCUGAAUUUAAAUUCACUUAUCUGUUGAAAAGACCUGAACAGAUAAUCUCAGGCUGCCAGCAGGGGUUGGUUUCUGACCUCGGAUCGGACGAGCGGUUGGAUCGGUCGAGUGAAGGUCGGGUCGGUCGAGCGGAAUGACCGAGGUCCUUGAAACAGAUUCGCCCCCACCUCAGGCGGUGCUUCGAGGCUUACUCAGGUCGUCUGUUUCCCAGGAUACAACAGUCUGACCGUGAACUCCACCAAGCACUGGUAGUCAGUGCGAACUGAGUUGACAGAGGAGGAGAAUAAGAUGCUGCAUUUGGACAAGUGGGACAGUGUUGAAGAUGAUUAUUCAGUCAGGGAUAACUAAAGCUCUGCAGGAUGCUUCACUUCGACUCCCAAUUACUGAUGAUGUUAAGGUUGAUAUAAGAGAACUUGAAGAAGUUAUGAAUGUGACAUUACUAGAGCUGGUAUCAUUGUCACCGUGCACGGGAAGAUUUCAACCAAAGGUAACAAUUUGGAAGAGAAAUAAUGAGGUGUUACUUGAAGAAGUUUGUAUAUAUUCAUUUUGUUUAGUGAAAAAUCACUCCUCCAACUACUAUAGAUUUUGCAUCAGUAAUUCAGUAUACUUCAACAUGAAUAAGUAUUUCAUGUAUUUAAGUAUC